CUCAACACCCGCUUUCAUUUUUGAGCAGUUUCAAUCUCCAGCACUCAUUAAUUUAAGAAUGUUUGCUGGUGUCCUGUGUGUGUAAGAUUGUGUUUGACCUGGUUUGUUGAGGCUAAGAAUGUCACUGGAAACUUUGCUAGCUAUAGUUCAUGUGUCCCCCCUCGUACCCCAAACCCCCUCUGAUUUUUUAAAACGGUUGUUGCUCUGUGUAACCCUGGAUGUUCUGGAACUCUCUGUAGACCAGGCUGGCCUGGAAUUCACCCAGAUCCGCCUGCUUCUGCCUCCCAAGUGCUGGGAUUAAAGGUGCGCAUUACUACAUCCAGUCUGUUGUUCGUGUCUUACAGGAUAAUUAAAGUCACAACACAAUCUGCUAGGCACUCCUGUGAGGACUUUGAUGGUUUGAAGUGGGAAGACCCACCAUGGCAACCCAUAGCAAAGGAAGGAUGUGGAAGAAGGAAACUUUUCUUCUUGCUUUCACUUCUGGCAAGUUCGUCUGUCGUAUUGCUGCAGCAUUAGACCAGAGCUCUCCAGGAGUCCUCUCGUGCCCCAGGUCGGACUGCCGAGACUUCGUGCCUCAUGAACUGAACAGCCAGGGUUUUGGCCUCUGAUGCCAGACAGUUAGUGUUGGAAUGCCUGGACUAUAAUGUAAGCCAAUCUAAUAAGCCUCCUUAUGACAUUAAUUCCCUUUAUUCUGUUCCAUAAAGAACCAUAGUACAA
rnacentral:lncRNA from 1 species